CAUGGACAUCAGCAGGGUAGGACAAAGGGGCGAAGGGAGGACUUGCCUCCCUCUGCAUUUUUCAACUUGUCCCCUCCCCAUAGGUAAUUUUCCCUUGGACUGUGACCGUUCAGUCUGAGGGAAAGAAGGAGGGAGGUGCUUGGGAUGCACUUAGGCUGCCAAGGGUCACAGAAAGCACUGUGAGGCUCUUUUCUGAAUCCCUAGCAAUUUGGUGCCUCUAUGCUCUGCCCCCACAUUCAG